rnacentral:lncRNA from 1 species
GCCAUUUUGAUUUUGGGCUUUUUUUUCAAUGAAAAUUCUAAAAAAUUUCCUAAAUAUCAAUGCUUAUUUUCCCUUAAUCCUGACAGUAAAUGAUGCAGACAAUUAUCACAUCUAAAAGCUGUUACCUUUGCCUUUCUAAAAAUAUAUCACACAUUUGGCUGACAAUUGUGUACAUAUGCUUAUUUUCUAUUGGAGAAGGGGUUGAUUCUGACAUCUAAAUGAAAACCAAAUUUCACCAAAAUUCAUUGAAGCUUUGACAAAAUUUCCGAGAUAGUUUAUAGAAAAUAUUGCCAAAAUCAUAAAGAUAACCCCCC